AUUGAACGCUGGCGGCAGGCCUAACACAUGCAAGUCGAGCGGAUGAGUGGAGCUUGCUCCAUGAUUCAGCGGCGGACGGGUGAGUAAUGCCUAGGAAUCUGCCUGGUAGUGGGGGACAACGUUUCGAAAGGAACGCUAAUACCGCAUACGUCCUACGGGAGAAAGUGGGGGAUCUUCGGACCUCACGCUAUCAGAUGAGCCUAGGUCGGAUUAGCUAGUUGGUGAGGUAAAGGCUCACCAAGGGGACGAUCCGUAACUGGUCUGAGAGGAUGAUCAGUGACACUGGAACGCGGACACGGUCCAGACUCCUACGGGAGGCAGCGGUGGGGAAUAUUGGACAAUGGGCGAAAGCCUGAUCCAGCCAUGCCGCGUGUGUGAAGAAGGUCUUCGGAUUGUAAAGCACUUUAAGUUGGGAGGAAGGGCAGUAAGUUAAUACCUUGCUGUUUUGACGUUACCAACAGAAUAAGCACCGGCUAACUUCGUGCCAGCAGCCGCCGCGGUAA
rnacentral:rRNA from 1 species